CCCUUAGAUGUUCUGGGCCGCACACGCGCUACACUGAAGGAGGCAGCGUGUACUCCUGGAUCGAAAGAUUUGGGUAACCCGCGAAUCUCCUUCGUGCUAGGGAUUGAGGUUUGCAAUUAUCCUUCAUGAACGAGGAAUUCCCAGUAAGUGCAAGUCAUAAGCUUGCGCUGACUACGUACCUGCCCUUUGUACACACCGCCCGUCGCUACUACCGAUUGAAUGAUUUAGUGAGGACUUCGGACUGGGACCGAUGCGGCUUUCGGGCUGCGUCGGUAUUCUGGAAAGAUGUCCAAACUGUAUCAUUUAGAGGAAGUAAAAGUCGUAACA
rnacentral:rRNA from 1 species